rnacentral:rRNA from 1 species
UACGGAGGGUGCGAGCGUUAAUCGGAAUUACUGGGCGUAAAGCGUGCGUAGGCGGUUUGAUAAGUCGGGUGUGAAAGCCCCGGGCUUAACCUGGGAAUUGCAUUCGAUACUGUCUGACUCGAGUCUGGGAGAGGGAAGCGGAAUUCCGGGUGUAGCGGUGAAAUGCGUAGAUAUCGGGAGGAACACCAGUGGCGAAGGCGACUACCUGGCCUGUUCUUGACGCUGAGGCGCGAAAGCUAGGGGAGCAAACGGG